rnacentral:rRNA from 1 species
GACAGAGGGAGCCAAGCGUUGUCCGGACUGACUGGGCGUAAAGCGCACGCAGGCGGCGCUGUGCGUGGGGUGGUGAAAGCUCUUGGCUUAACUGAGAGAGGCCAUCCCAUACGGCAGCGGCUCGAGCGGUGCAGAGGUCCGCGGAAUUGCCGGUGUAGUGGUGAAAUGCGUAGAGAUCGGCAGGAACACCCAGGGGGAAACUAGCGGACUGGGCAUCGGCUGACGCUCAGGUGCGACAGCGUGGGGAGCGAACCGG